CGUAGGGUGCGAGCGUUAAUCGGAAUUACUGGGCGUAAAGCGUGCGCAGGCGGUUUUGUAAGACAGGCGUGAAAUCCCCGGGCUCAACCUGGGAACUGCGCUUGUGACUGCAAGGCUAGAGUACGGCAGAGGGGGGUGGAAUUCCACGUGUAGCAGUGAAAUGCGUAGAGAUGUGGAGGAACACCAAUGGCGAAGGCAGCCCCCUGGGUCGAUACUGACGCUCAUGCACGAAAGCGUGGGUAGCAAACAGGAUUAGAUACCCUGGUAGUCCACGCCCUAAACGAUGUCAACUAGGUGUUGGGUGGGUAAAACCAUUUAGUACCGGAGCUAACGCGUGAAGUUGACCGCCUGGGGAGUACGGCCGCAAGGUUA
rnacentral:rRNA from 1 species